GUGAACGCCCUCACGGGCUUAUACUAUUCCAAACCUCUGUGAACCGCGCCCUUCGGGGCUAUUUUACAAACAUGGUGUAAUGAACGUCAUAUAUCAUAACAAAACA
rnacentral:misc_RNA from 1 species